GCAGACUGGAGCGCAGAGCCUCAGGUUCCAGUGAAGGUGCUGCAUGCUCACGGUGAUGACGUCACCACAGCCCGGUUCUGUUGCGGCGACCGCAACAUCCUGAGCUGCUCAUUGGACGGCAGCGCCAUCCUCUGGGACGCGGAGAGCGGCCGGCCUCUGAGGCUGUUUGCUGGAGUUCACAGCAGAGCCAUCACUGAGUGUGCUCUGAUC